UGAGGAAUAUUGAGCAAUGGGCGCAAGCCUGACUCAGCAACGCCGCGUGGAUGACGAAGGCCUUCGGGUUGUAAAAUCCUUUUCUGCGGGAAGAUAAUGACGGUACCGCAGGAAUAAGUUCCGGCUAACUACGUGCCAGCAGCCGCGGUAAAACGUAGGGGACAAGCGUUAUCCGGAUUUACUGGGCGUAAAGCGCCCGUAGGCGGCCUGUCAAGUUGGAUGUGAAAGCUCCUGGCUUAACUGGGAGAGGUCAUUCAAAACUGACAGGCUAGAGGAUGGAAGAGGAGAGCGGAAUUCCCGGUGUAGUGGUGGAAUGCGUAGAGAUCGGGAGGAACACCAGUGGCGAAAGCGGCUCUCUGGUCCGUACCUGACGCUGAGGGGCGAAAGCGUGGGGAGCGAACGGGAUUAGAUACCCCGGUAGUCCACGCUGUAAACGAUGGAUACUAGGUGUAGGCGGUCAUUAACCCCGUCUGUGCCGCAGCCAACGCGUUAAGUAUCCCGCCUGGGGA
rnacentral:rRNA from 1 species